GAGUGACAUGUCAUAGCAUCAUUUUAUUCCUGAUUACAUGAGAUUGAUGCUGUAGGAAGCUGUCUUUAAUGUUUUGGAAUACUAUACAAAGCGGGUCAUUUAGGAGGAUCUACUGCAGAAAUGGAAUAUAAUAUUCAGAGGCAGCACCUUCAUAUUGUGGAGUGUAAUGAACAUUUGAGCCCCUAAGGAUUGCUAGGAGCACUGUAGACCUUUGAUUCCCAGCCUUUUUCAUCAGAUGUACCUCCACGGCCCAGUC